rnacentral:lncRNA from 1 species
AUAUGUUUAGUUCCAAGGUCAUGUUUCCAAAUGUGAGCUGCAUCACCCCAUUCUUACAAUUGAUGAUAGCAUUGGAGGUAGCUAGGAAAGGUCUCCCAAGGAUGAUUGGCACAUAAUUUGCUUCCUUAACAGUGGGAUCAGUAUCAAGCACCACAAAAUCCACGGGAUAGUAGAAUUUGUCCACUUGAACUAGAACAUCCUCUAUCACCCCCCUUGGGAUUUUG